rnacentral:tRNA from 1 species
CAAAUUAAAGCUUUAUAGGAAGCUUUUUAGUUACAUUAAAAUGAUUAUUGUGCAAUUCAGUAUAAUUUGA